rnacentral:rRNA from 1 species
AGAGUUUGAUCCUGGCUCAGGAUGAACGCUGGCGGCGUGCUUAACACAUGCAAGUCGAACGAACCUUCGGGUUAGUGGCGGACGGGUGAGUAACGCGUGAGAAUCUGCCCUCAGGAAGGGGAUAACAGUUGGAAACGACUGCUAAUACCCCAUAUGCCGAGAGGUGAAAUGAAUUUCGCCUGGGGAUGAGCUCGCGUCUGAUUAGCUUGUUGGUGGGGUAAUAGCCUACCAAGGCUUCGAUCAGUAGCUGGUCUGAGAGGACGAUCAGCCACACUGGGACUGAGACACGGCCCAGACUCCUACGGGAGGCAGCAGUGGGGAAUUUUCCGCAAUGGGCGAAAGCCUGACGGAGCAACGCCGCGUGAGGGAUGGAGGCCUUUGGGCUGUAAACCUCUUUUCUCAAGGAAGAAGAUCUGACGGUACUUGAGGAAUAAGCCACGGCUAAUUCCGUGCCAGCAGCCGCGGUAAUACGGGAGUGGCAAGCGUUAUCCGGAAUUAUUGGGCGUAAAGCGUCCGCAGGCGGCCGUUUAAGUCUGUUGUUAAAUCGUGGAGCUCAACUCCAUCACGGCAAUGGAAAUUGUUCGGCUUGAGUAUGGUAGGGGCAGAGGGAAUUUCCGGUGUAGCGGUGAAAUGCGUAGAUAUCGGGAAGAACACCAGUGGCGAAAGCGCUCUGCUGGGCCAUUACUGACGCUCAUGGACGAAAGCCAGGGGAGCGAAAGGGAUUAGAUACCCCUGUAGUCCUGGCCGUAAACGAUGAACACUAGAUGUUGGGGGAAUCGACCCCCUCGGUGUCGUAGCUAACGCGUUAAGUGUUCCGCCUGGGGAGUACGCACGCAAGUGUGAAACUCAAAGGAAUUGACGGGGGCCCGCACAAGCGGUGGAGUAUGUGGUUUAAUUCGAUGCAACGCGAAGAACCUUACCAAGGCUUGACAUCCUGCGAAUCUCUAAGAAAUUAGAGAGUGCCUUCGGGAACGCAGUGACAGGUGGUGCAUGGCUGUCGUCAGCUCGUGUCGUGAGAUGUUGGGUUAAGUCCCGCAACGAGCGCAACCCACGUUUUUAGUUGCCAGCAUUCAGUUGGGCACUCUAGAAAGACUGCCGGUGACAAACCGGAGGAAGGUGUGGACGACGUCAAGUCAUCAUGCCCCUUACGCCUUGGGCUACACACGUACUACAAUGCUGCGGACAAAGAGUAGCGAUCUUGCGAAAGUUAGCUAAUCUCAUAAACCGUGGCUCAGUUCAGAUCGUAGGCUGCAACUCGCCUACGUGAAGGAGGAAUCGCUAGUAAUCGCAGGUCAGCAUACUGCGGUGAAUACGUUCCCGGGCCUUGUACACACCGCCCGUCACACCAUGGAAGUUGGCCAUGCCCGAAGUCGUUACUCUAACCUUUUGGAAGAGGGCGCCGAAGGCAGGGCUAAUGACUGGGGUGAAGUCGUAACAAGGUAACC